rnacentral:rRNA from 1 species
CCGCGUGAAUGGAUGAAAGGCCUUUAGGGUUGUAAAGUUACCUUUCACCCUGUGAAGACUAAUGGACGGUAGCAGGAGAAGAAGCCCCCGGCUAACUCCGUGC